CAGCAGGGGGCGUGCAGUGGCCGGCGAUACGCGGUGCUGGGCGGGCGGGCAGUCAGCGCUCGCUUCAACGAAGAUCGGCGCAGCCCAGGGAACAUUGGUGUUGAGAACAGCCCUCCUCAUUACAUCAUGCCAGGAGGUGGAGGUGGAGGUGGAGGAGGAGGUGGAGGAGGAGGCGGAGGCGGUGGCGGCGGCGGCGGUGGUGGUGGUGGUGGCGGCGGCGGUGGCGGCGGCGGUGGCGGUGAAGAAUGAGGGCUAUUGUGUAUCUACGAGGGCCAGUCGAUGCGGCCUCUUGUCAAAUAAAUGACAACCGAAUAUAUUUGUUUAACCCUCGUCCAGAUCCGCCGUUUUUUUUCAUAACGCGGACUGGCUAGGGUUAAGGUCGGUGUAACCCGAA